rnacentral:rRNA from 1 species
AGAGUUUGAUCAUGGCUCAGGACGAACGCUGGCGGCGUGCUUAACACAUGCAAGUCGAACGAUGAAACCCAGCUUGCUGGGUGGAUUAGUGGCGAACGGGUGAGUAACACGUGGGUGAUCUGCCCUGCACUUCGGGAUAAGCCUGGGAAACUGGGUCUAAUACCGGAUAGGACCUCGGGAUGCAUGUUCCGGGGUGGAAAGGUUUUCCGGUGCAGGAUGGGCCCGCGGCCUAUCGGCUUGUUGGUGGGGUAACGGCCCACCAAGGCGACGACGGGUAGCCGGCCUGAGAGGGCGACCGGCCACACUGGGACUGAGACACGGCCCAGACUCCUACGGGAGGCAGCAGUGGGGAAUAUUGCACAAUGGGCGCAAGCCUGAUGCAGCGACGCCGCGUGAGGGAUGACGGCCUUCGGGUUGUAAACCUCUUUCAGUACCGACGAAGCGCGAGUGACGGUAGGUACAGAAGAAGCACCGGCCAACUACGUGCCAGCAGCCGCGGUAAUACGUAGGGUGCGAGCGUUGUCCGGAAUUACUGGGCGUAAAGAGCUCGUAGGCGGUUUGUCGCGUCGUCUGUGAAAACCCGCAGCUCAACUGCGGGCUUGCAGGCGAUACGGGCAGACUUGAGUACUGCAGGGGAGACUGGAAUUCCUGGUGUAGCGGUGAAAUGCGCAGAUAUCAGGAGGAACACCGGUGGCGAAGGCGGGUCUCUGGGCAGUAACUGACGCUG